rnacentral:ribozyme from 1 species
GAAAGUAAGUGGCAGAAAACAAAAAAGAAAACCAAAAGGGAGGGAGUCUUGUUUUGUUUUUAUGUGUCUUGGUAGCCGGGAGUUUUUUUGUUUUGUUAUUUGUGGGUUUGUUGUGUUGGUAGAUUUGAUUUGAUUUUUUCUUUCUUUGUUGUUGGUGUUGUGGGGGAGGAGGGUUUGAGGU